rnacentral:rRNA from 1 species
GAUGAACGCUAGCUACAGGCCUAACACAUGCAAGUCGAGGGGCAGCGGGAAGGAAGCUUGCUUUCUUCGCCGGCGACCGGCGCACGGGUGCGUAACGCGUAUCGAACCUACCCUUUACUCGGGAACAGCCUUGCGAAAGCAAGAUUAAUGCCCGAUGUUCCGCGUUUGCCGCAUGGCAAAUUCGGCAAAGAUUUAUCGCUGAAAGAUGGCCUCGCGUCUGAUUAGCUAGUUGGCGGGGUAACGGCCCACCAAGGCGACGAUCAGUAGGGGUUCUGAGAGGAAGGUCCCCCCACAUUGGAACUGAGACACGGUCCAAACUCCUACGGGAGGCAGCAGUGAGGAAUAUUGGUCAAUGGGCGGAGCCUGACGGAGCAACGCCGCGUGAGUGAAGAAGGUCUUCGGAUCGUAAAGCUCUGUUGUCGGGGACGAAUGUUGAGGCCUAGAACNUAGGUUUCAAAUGACGGUACCUGACGAGGAAGCCACGGCUAACUACGUGCCAGCAGCCGACGG